rnacentral:rRNA from 1 species
GACGAACGCUGGCGGCGUGCUUAACACAUGCAAGUCUAACGGAAAGGCCCUGCUUUUGUGGGGUGCCCGAGUGGCGAACGGGUGAGUAACUCGUGAGUUAUCUGCCCUUUACUUUGGGAUAUCUUCAGGAAACUGGGGCUAAUACCGGAUCGGAGUUUCCGCCGCAUGGUGGGGGUUGGAAAGUUUGGCCGGUUGGGGAUGGACUCUCGGCUUAUCAGCUUGUUGGUGGGGUAGUGGCCUACACAGGCUAUGACGGGUAGUCGGCCUGAGAGGGUGACCGGCGACAUUGGGACUGGGAUACUGCCCAGUCUCCUACAGGCGCGAGCAGUGGGGAAUAUUGCGCACAGGGCGGACGCCAUUGCCAACAACGCCCCGUGCGGGAUAACGCCCUUCGGGUUUUAAACCGCGUUCGCCGGUGACGAAACGUAAAUGACGGUAAUGGGUGAAGAAGCACCGGCUAAAUACGUG